CUUUAGGAAAACAAAACCAAAAAGUGGGUUUAUAGUUGCACACGUCGACUCCCCUAUGGGACAGCCAGUGAAGACCAUAUUUUGAUGUGGAUGAGCCCAAUGUGUGUGUCUUCGGGGGCCGGUGUAACCCGCUGUGCUGCUGCUUGUUGUGAGGCCAAAGCCUGGGACCUCAGGGGAUACUUGAUGUCCCUGCUUUUCUUCGUGGCGCAGGCCAUUAGGGAAGCGGGUCUCUCAGCCUCCACUCUGCCAGCUGCUCCAAAUUCACAGUGGCUACAAAACUAAGGCCUCCCAGUAGAGGGCAAGGGGCCCCUUGGUGUCAUUGUCCACGACUCAUCACCAUGGCAAGAGAAGCUGGAGACUCCCUGUUGCAAAGGCAGAAGUGUGGCACCAAGCAAAGGUGGUAUCUCUGUGAUCAUUUUUCUGGCCAGGCCUGCAUCCCAGUCCACUCUCGAGCCACCACAGUGCCCUGUGGCCUUCAGACCAGGGCCCCUGGCUCAUGGUGGUGGAGCUGCCCAGCUGAGCAUUUUAUAGAAGAGUUUCCCACAUGCAGAAAAUGCACCAAGGCCUCCUUGAGCUUUUGAACACAGAAGAGGUAAAGACAACAGCAGGACCACCAGGAGCUCCCAGCAAGGGGUGGGUACAGAAAAGGAGAGUGCCCCUGCUUUAGAGCCUGUUGGGCCCUCUCCACUCACUUCAGGUAACUGAGCUCGUCUUCAAGGUAUUAUAAAUGUUCAACAUUUUCUGACUCUUUUAGGUUGGACAACAUUAAAGUCUCCUGGGUAGAUGCUAGGGACACACAUAAUAAUAAGAAUAAUACCACCAUUUAUUAUUCUCUUAAUGUGUGCACUCCAAGCUGAAUGAAUUAUGUGAAUUUUCCCAUUCAGUCCUUACAGCUUUCCAAGAGACAUGUGCUGUCAUUCUCCCCAUUUCACAGUUUAAGAAACUGAGGCUUGGAGAAAUGAAGUCACUAACCCCAGGUCUCACUCGGAUAGUUAGGAUUAAAACAGAUGCCUGUUUGUCCCCAGGGUUUGUACCUUCCAUCCCUCCUACUACCAUCCCCUAAGGCCCUGAGCUGGGGGAGGAAGGGACAGUAGAGAGGAGGCCAUGCUGGCGGCAACCCUUGGUCAAGUUCAUCCUGCCUCCACACAGGUUGUCUUUCUGGUCUUGGGGACUGUGGCCUGAUGGUAGGCAAAGAGGCCUCCAGAUAUCAUGGCAGGCAGGUGGUGGCCUCACCCAUAUCUCUGGUGGCUGAGCUCCCCUGCUGCUUGGGCUAACUGAUUCUGCCCCCCACCUUGAGCCCAGAUAGUGAUUUCCCAGACCCUGGCCCCUGGCCCCUGGCAGGCAGGCAGUCAUGAGAUUGGGGACUCACCCAUAAGGUCAGAGAUGCCAAAUAAAAGUGGGCGGAGAACCUGC